rnacentral:rRNA from 1 species
UGAAACCGCAUGCAUACAAACAGUCGGAGCCUCGUAAGGGGUGACGGCGUACCUUUUGUAUAAUGGGUCAGCGACUUACGUUCAGUAGCAAGCUUAACCGUAUAGGGCAGGCGUAGCGAAGCGAGUCCGAAUAGGGCGUUCAGUUGCUGGGCGUAGACCCGAAACCAGGUGAUCUAUCCAUGGCCAGGAUGAAGGUGCGGUAACACGUACUGGAGGUCCGAACCCACUAACGUUGAAAAGUUAGGGGAUGAGCUGUGGAUAGGGGUGAAAGGCUAAACAAACCUGGAAAUAGCUGGUUCUCUCCGAAAACUAUUUAGGUAGUGCCUCGUGUCUCACCUUCGGGGUGAGAGCACUGUCAUGGUUGGGGGUCUAUUGCAGAUUACCCCGCCAUAGCAAACUCCGAAUACCGAAGAGUGCAAUCACGGGAGACAGACAUCGGGUGCUAACGUCCGGUGUCAAGAGGGAAACAACCCAGACCGCCAGCUAAGGUCCCCAAAUAAUAGCUAAGUGGGAAACGAAGUG